rnacentral:miRNA from 1 species
UACCCGUAGAUCCGAACUUGUG